rnacentral:lncRNA from 13 species
GUUUUAGAUGUCAUUACCUUAUUCAUUACCAGUGGUGUUUUAGAUGUCAUUACCUUAUUCAUUACCAGUCUACUCCUGUGGUGCUUUAGAUUUCAUUACCUUAUUCAUUACUAGUCCUCUCCUGUGGUGUUUUAGAUGUCAUUACCUUAUUUAUCACCCUAUUUAGCAUCAUUAUUGGUCGUUUGGUUGUGAAAAGAGCUUAGGAUCUAUUUGAAUAACUUUUCUUUUUUUUUUAAAUCCCAAAAUAUCAAUAGUAGCUCAUCGUCUCUUAUUGACUUAAAACAUAGCUUCUCACCAAAAUCAUGACAUCAUGACCAUUACAAAAAUCAAACUUUAAAAAAACGUUGAAAUGGAACGUAUUGGUCAUGGUACUGGGCUGUAUUUGAUAAUAGACUCGGUGGUUCGAGCCCUGAAUAUUGAUUGGCUGAAAGCCGUGAGACUGUAUACCACGGGUAUGACAAACAUUUAAUUUUACUGUUCUAGUUACAUUUGUAACCAGUUUAUAAUAGCAAUAAGGCACCUUUGGAGGUUUGUGGUAUGCUAUAUGGCCAAUAUACCACAGCGUAGCGUUGUUCCUAAGAACAGCCCUGAGCCGUGGUAUAUUUGCCAAAUACCACACCUCCUCAGGCCUUAUUGCUUAAAUAUACAACGCUAUAAUUCAAAGACAUAAGCAUAAUUUCCACACAUGUAUUUGAAUGUUGAUUUAUCACAUAUUCCUCGUUCACCAGUUCCUGAGAAUGUUGCUUUAAUACAAAAUAUAACACACACAGGCACUGCAAGGCAAGAUGGCAGCUCCUUGGAUGUUGCUUUGAUACAAAAUAUAACACACACAGGCACAGUAAGGCGGAAGCCUUGUUUGAAAUGCUCAGGAAAAAAUGAAUUUACCUCAGAAAUUUGAAAUAAAGAAUGUAUGUAAUCUUCAGGUCUUGGUGGAGAGAGUAGAGGAGGAGAGAAAGAGGAGAGAAAGAAGAGGAGAGAAAGAGGGGGAGGAAAAAGAGAAGAGCCCUAACAGAGUCCUGUUGCAUACACACUGCAGCUGUCUGUGCAUAUACCUUUGGGGAGAAACUUGAAAAUGCUACAAAGAGUAACAUUGAAUGUAAUUCAGGUAUUUCACAGGAUAUUUGACGCCAUAAAAUCAAUGGUUUUAUUAUUAUAUGUGAAUAUAAAUACAUGUUUUUAAAUUUGAAUGUCUAUUUUUCUUUUGGUGGAAGGCUGGUUGUGUUUAUGAAGUGUUAUGUUGAACACAGAAAAUAUUAGAUUUUUGUUGGACAAACUGUUUACAAAUCAACCCAAAGCAUUGUGUUUACAUGUACUAUUCACAAAUGAAUGUUAUAUACACAUUUUAUUGUAAUAGAUGCAAAUCUUCAUUGAAAGAUGUAAACAAAAGGUGUACAUUUAAAUGACACUUAUAUUUCAAACCUGGACACAGACAAGAUAUAACAGAAGAAAAUAGAAGAUGCACCUGAAGAUGUUGUCUAAUAAUAAAAAGAGAGAAGCCUAGUUGUUAGACCAUUGGGCCAGUAACCGAAAGGUUGCUGGAUUAAAUCCCCGAGCUGACAAACAAGGUAAAAAUCUGUCGUUCUGCCCCUGAGCAAGGCAGUUAACCCACUGAUCCCUGGGUGCUGAAGACGUGGAUGUUGAUUAAGGCAGCACCUCUCUGGUUCAGAGGGGUUGGGUUAAAUGCGCAAGACACAUUUCAGUUGAAUGCAUUCAGUUGUACUACUGACUAAGUAUCCCCCUUUUCCUAAUCAGUAUUAUGCUUUAUGUAAAAUACAAUACUAGAUAUAACAUGUAGACAAUCCAGAGGAAAACAUAUUCACAGUGUUGUAUCUCUACCACUCUGUUUAACAAAAGUCUGGAAACAUGAGGUCAUUCAGUUCAGUUCUGUACUGACGUGAUGUCAUGAAUAUUGGUUUGUUACCAUAGUUAUGUAGACUGGAGGCACACGCUGGAGGAUGAUGUAAUGUUCUUAUCUCAUUAUGGUAGUAUUANNNNNNNNNNUGCGUGUGUGUGUGUGUGUGGUGUUGACUGUAUGAUUAAUAAUAGUCUAAUAAUGAUGUAUAGCUGUGUUCUGCCCUCAGCUUUGUGGUUAGUGGCCGUCCUUCAGCCCUCGAUCAAGGAUAAUUGUUUCCCCAGCUGUUAGAAACAUAAACACACUUACACAGAACAGACCUAAUUGCAACCUUGUAGAGGUUGGUGAGUGGAGAAGGAGUGCUGAAGGUUAAAUGCAGACAUUUGUUCGUUUAAAUAAUAAUAAUUUAGAAUCGUUGUUCUUCAAGAGUGGAUGAAUAUUCUCUUCUUC